rnacentral:rRNA from 1 species
GAUGAACGCUGGCGGCGUGCCUAAUACAUGCAAGUCGAGCGAACGGACGAGAAGCUUGCUUCUCUGAUGUUAGCGGCGGACGGGUGAGUAACACGUGGAUAACCUACCUAUAAGACUGGGAUAACUUCGGGAAACCGGAGCUAAUACCGGAUAAUAUUUUGAACCGCAUGGUUCAAAAGUAAAAGACGGUCUUGCUGUCACUUAUAGAUGGAACAGCGCUGCAUUAGCUAGUUGGUAAGGUAACGGCUUACCAAGGCAACGAUGCAUAGCCGACCUGAGAGGGUGAGCGGCCACACUGGAACUGAGACACGGUCCAGACUCCUACGGGAGGCAGCAGUAGGGAAUCUUCCGCAAUGGGCGAAAGCCUGACGGAGCAACGCCGCGUGAGUGAUGAAGGUCUUCGGAUCGUAAAACUCUGUUAUUAGGGAAGAACAUAUGUGUAAGUAACUGUGCACAUCUUGACGGUACCUAAUCAGAAAGCCACGGCUAACUACGUG